CAGUCGCCACGGGAAUACGUAGGUGGCAAGCGUUGUCCGGAAUUAUUGGGCGUAAAGGGCUCGCAGGCGGUUUCUUAAGUCUGAUGUGAAAGCCCCCGGCUCAACCGGGGAGGGUCAUUGGAAACUGGGAAACUUGAGUGCAGAAGAGGAGAGUGGAAUUCCACGUGUAGCGGUGAAAUGCGUAGAGAUUAGGAGGAGCACCAGUGGCGAAGGCGGCUUUUUGGCCUGUAACUGACACUGAGGCGCGAAAGCGUGGGGAGCAAACAGGAUUAGAGACCCCUGUAGUCCCUGUCUCUUAUAC
rnacentral:rRNA from 1 species